UACGGAGGGGACUAGCGUUGUUCGGAAUUACUGGGCGUAAAGCGCACGUAGGCGGUUUUGUAAGUCAGGGGUGAAAUCCCGGGGCUCAACCUCGGAACUGCCUUUGAUACUGCAAAUCUCGAGUCCGGAAGAGGAGAGUGGAAUUCCUGGUGUAGCGGUGAAAUGCGUAGAUAUCUGGAGGAACACCGGUGGCGAAGGCGGCAUCCUGGACCAACACUGACACUGAGGAGCGAAAGCCAGGGGAGCAAACGGG
rnacentral:rRNA from 1 species